GUGGGGAAUAUUGGACAAUGGGCGCAAGCCUGAUCCAGCAAUGCCGCGUGUGUGAAGAAGGCCUGAGGGUUGUAAAGCACUUUCAGUGGGGAGAAAGAUACUAUCGCUAAUAUCGGUAGUGGAUGAUGUUACCCACAGAAGAAGCACCGGCUAACUCUGUGCCAGCAGCCGCGGUAAUACAGAGGGUGCGAGCGUUAAUCGGAAUUACUGGGCGUAAAGGGUGCGUAGGUGGUUUGGUAAGUUAGAUGUGAAAUUCCCGGGCUUAACCUGGGGACUGCGUCUAAUACUGCUGAGCUAGAGUAUUGUAGAGGAAAGUGGAAUUUCCGGUGUAGCAGUGAAAUGCGUAGAUAUCGGAAGGAACAUCAGUGGCGAAGGCGACUUUCUGGACAAAUACUGACACUGAGGCACGAAAGCAUGGGGAGCAAACAGGAUUAGAAACCCCGGUAGUCC
rnacentral:rRNA from 1 species